rnacentral:tRNA from 1 species
GCCGCACUAGAGAAAUGGUUAACUCGUCGGCCUCCUAUCGCUCGAUCGAUAGCCGAAGAUUCCUGGUUCGAGUCCGGGGUGUGGUG